CCACUACUCAACUUAGAGACACUCAGAGUGUCCUUGUCUGGGAUCGAUUGAAAACCCAGGUGGUUGGCCUUCUGCCACUCCCAUGAUUAGUAUAAAAAUGUUAGGCCCUGUGCUAAAUUUUCUGGCCCACAGGUGUGCUAAGGAUGCCUCUGCACUCACCAUGGGGAAGGACAGGAUCCAUUCAUCCUGAUAAUGCUCACUCAAUGGAGAUCUCUCUUCAAAUACAUAUGCUGUCUCCAAGGCAUCCUGGUCUUCGCACUUCUGCAUCAGCCACUUUCCAACACCCCCAAGACUUCCAAGAACAAGAUGACUGAUAAAUGUAAAGGAUAAUAUCCACAAGAAAACACCGAUGAAUAUAUUCUCUCCCCUUGUCUAAAAUACAGAUUCAGAUACAUAUAUUCCACAAUGCAUUGGGAUGUCUUAUUUAAUUUGUUAUAUAUCAAGUUAACAUCCAAAAUCUUUCUGUAUUUUACAAACCAAUUAUUAAAACUCUUGGUGUCAAAACUAUACAAUCUCAGAAGUUUCCUACUAAACUUCAGUACCA
rnacentral:lncRNA from 1 species